GUGGCAGACUGACAGGUGGGAUCGGGAAAGGGUUUAGGGGAGGCGCUGGAGAGCUUUGAUCCUGCAGAGAUCUGAAGAGAGGGGUGUACACAGUGAACACGCUCUUCUGAAAACCAGGGGACAUCGAUGGGGUGCUGCAGAGAGCAAACAACACUGAGUACGGCCUGGCCUCAGGGGUCUUCACGAGAGACAUCAGCAAAGCCAUGUACGUGAGUGACAGGCUAGAGGCGGGAACGGUUUUCAUUAACACCUACAACAAGACGGACGUGGCAGCCCCAUUUGGUGGAGUGAAGCAGUCUGGCUUUGGAAAAGACUUAGGUGAGGAGGCCCUGAACGAAUACCUGAAAACCAAAACAGUGACCCUCGAGUAUUAGAGAGACGCAUCAGGAAACCUGUGACCAACAGCCCGCUUCUCAACUCUUCACAAGCUGAAAACCCCAACGGUGCUGAGGAAGCAGGGGCCGUCUGGAAGUAGAUAAAAGAAUCAGGAAGAGGGUGUGACCACUUGUGUGAGCAUUUACCUGACUAAGGGCCUCAAAAAAAUUCCAGGACACUGUUUAUAACCAAAUGACUUAACUCUUUUUAAAAAUGUUGGUGGUGUAUGUUUUUCUAAAGUAUCAAAGGUCCCUCCCCUUCCUCCCUGAAUGUCUAUUCGCUCCCAGGUCACCCAUCUUGAACACGCUGACCUCACUCACAGGCCCACUUAAGAAGAGUUCUGGGUCUCAACUCCCAAGCCGUAUAUACUGAACACUGUUAACCCUUUCUUUAGCUGUGCGUUCAAACAACAGGGUAUCCUACAGAGAACAUAAUGCCCGUCCUCGUCCCUUCUCGUAUUAGAAGGAAGACUCAUCUCUGUGCCUUUGACUAUUAUGUAACCUACUCUGACAAACGGGCAGCUCGUGAGCCUUUCUUCCACAUCUUCCUACGUGGUACAAAGGACUGUUAAGUUCAGAGGGCACCAAAUUACUGACAUCACCUUCGAUACUGUAGUUUAAAUCCUGGUAAACUAACUGUGAUGGCCAAUCCCUGUCAUACUACACCGGCUUACUGUGUGAGCUGGGGGAAACUACCCAACUUGUCUGAGCUCUGGCCUCCUCAUGUGUUAAAUAGUGGUAGCAGUGCCUUCCUUUGAAGUCUCAUUACAAGGACUCUGCGAAAAGAAAAGCCCCAGGACUGUUCAUAAUUCAUGUAAAUGUUCAAUUAAAAUUUAAAUAUUUCUUUCCAUUACUACUCU
rnacentral:lncRNA from 1 species